rnacentral:rRNA from 1 species
GACGAACGCUGGCGGCGUGCUUAACACAUGCAAGUCGAACGGAAAGGCCUCUUUCGGGGGGUACUCGAGUGGCGAACGGGUGAGUAACACGUGAGUAACCUGCCCUUGACUUUGGGAUAACUUCAGGAAACUGGGGCUAAUACCGGAUAGGAGCUCCUGCUGCAUGGUGGGGGUUGGAAAGUUUCGGCGGUUGGGGAUGGACUCGCGGCUUAUCAGCUUGUUGGUGGGGUAGUGGCUUACCAAGGCUUUGACGGGUAGCCGACCUGAGAGGGUGACCGGCCACAUUGGGACUGAGAUACGGCCCAGACUCCUACGGGAGGCAGCAGUGGGGAAUAUUGCACAAUGGGUGGAAGCCUGAUGCAGCAACGCCGGGUGCGGGAUGACGGCCUUCGGGUUGUAAACCGCUUUCGCUCAUGACGAAGCUUUGUGUGACGGUAGUGGGUAAAGAAGCACCGGCUAACUACGUG